GGGGAAUUAGUGAUAAUGGUAGCACUCCUGACUUGCACUCAGGUAGCGAGAGUUCGAUUCUCUCAUUCUCCA
rnacentral:tRNA from 1 species